rnacentral:lncRNA from 1 species
AAAACUCCUCUUUCUUGUCUCUCUAAAUCGCCACCGCCCACCACCGUCGGAUCGCCUCACUGCGGCAGUAUUCUCCAAAAUCGGCAAAGUUCAUACAAUACACUCAUCACCUCACCCUCAUCAUUAAUCCUCCACCAAUUUUUCCCAAAACUUUACCUAAUUCAUCCAAUUGCAGAUCUAAAAAGAAGUGAAAACCCUAGUUUUUUUUCCUGUUCGAUUUCUUGGAUGUUUUAAGAUUCGAUUCGACCAAAACCUGCUAGUUGAUUGUUCUCAGCAAGAACAAUUGCCUAGAAUUAUUUUUUGAUUCAUUUCGAUCAAGACUCGGAUUUGUCAAGCCAACCAGAUUUGCGGAGGGGAAUGCACAAACAUUCGUUAGUUGAUCUCUGUUCCCUUAUCUCAGGUUCAAUUAGGUUUUUUUAAAAUUAAUUUGUCUUGAUUACUGUUUCUCUUUCUUCUUCUUUCGAAAUUGUUUUGUUUUGGGUUUUUGUUUGGCCUGGGGUUUGCUUUGCAUGCAGACAGGCUCGUUAGUACAAAGGCCCAAGGGAAAUAUAGGGUUUCAGUUGUUUAGAGGAUACAAAUCCCAGCUUGGGUUGGAAGUAAAUAGCAUCUGUUUCGAGGGUAUUUAGGGAAAUUGAGUAGAAAGAAUCUUGGCUAACUGUCUAGGAAGCUGCUAGGAAGGUGGGAAUUGGGUAAUUUGCUAAAAAAGGUUCAAAGGAUAGGGCCUGAAAUGAAAAAGAGAAAAUUGGGGAAGGGGUAAUUGUAAAAGUUUAAAAAUUAAUUCUGUUGCCCUAAAGCUUGCUAUAAGAGGAUCAUUUUCCCAAUAUUUAAGGGGGAGGAAGAAUAAAAACAAUAGAAAUGGCUGAAAGAUUUCAAGUACUAUUCCCUGCACCUAGAACACUGAAAGAAUACACACUGAUAGAGUUUCAAAAUUAGGGAGAAAAACACAAAAAAAAAUCUCAAAUACUGUUCCAUUGCAGUUGGUUUUCAUCUUUCUUGGGUUGUUUUUUCUUUAAAAAGCUUCAGUACAUUGCUAUUUUUUGGGGGUUUCAAAACAUGGUUAAAGCUGGUUGAUAGUUGUUGCUUAUUGCUGUUUUAAAGCUCUGUUGAUAUUACUAUUUUCUUGCUGAAGUUCUGUGGUUGUUUUUGGUUUGUAUCCAGGUAUGUAAGCUGAAUCCCUGUGGCCAUGUGAAUAAUACACUUGAAGUUUUUAGAGUUUGUUGGCUGUUGUCAUUCAGUCGAUGCUUGUUUGCUGCUGGAGACUGAUUCUAUGAUGUUAAAAUCCAUUGCAUUCUGUUUCCUUCCCUUCCCCAUUUUGUUUUUUAGUAUGUUGAAAAUUGGCUAAAAUUUGUACGUAAUAGAUGUGUGUUUUGAGCUUGAACUGUAUUGUAAGGUGUGUGGGAGGUAUUUGUGCCUCUAAAAUUACUUUGGGAGAUUUGUUUAAAGCUUCAGUCUACUGUAGUAGUAUGGUUUAUUUUAGGAUGUGUUUGAGGGCUAUGUGUUCAAUGGAAAAUGUUCUUUGGAAGGGUUGAAAGUUUACUACUGUGGGGUAUGUGAAAUUUGGCUCUAACAGGUUUAAAAUACACUGUUCAGCAUGUGUAUAUUUUUAGGGCUUUAAUUUGCUAGAACAAAUCGUGUGUGUAUUAGCAUAGUUGAUAAAUAGUUUAAUGGUUUGAGUUCAUGUGGUAGCAUUAGUAGCAGUAACAAUUCGAGUUUAUAAUAUUAUCGUUGUCGCUG